UACGGAGGGUGCAAGCAUUAAUCGGAUUUAUUGGGCGUAAAGGGCGCGUAGGCGGCGAUGAAAGUCAGACGUGAAAUCCCGGGGCUUAACCUCGGAACUGCGUUUGAAACUUCAUCACUAGAGGGUAGGCGGAGAAAACGGAAUUCCACAAGUAGCGGUGAAAUGCGUAGAUAUGUGGAAGAACACCGGUGGCGAAGGCGGUUUUCUAGCUUAUACCUGACGCUGAGGCGCGAAAGCAAGGGGAGCAAACAGG
rnacentral:rRNA from 1 species